rnacentral:tRNA from 1 species
AAGAGAGAUUGUAUGUGGUUGCUCAAUUAGCUUGAAACUAGUUGGAGGGGGUUCAAUUCCUUCCUCUCUUG